AGCUUUUCGCAGUGGCAGUAUCGUAGCCAAUGAGGUUUAUCCGAGGCGCGAUUAUUGCUAAUUGAAAAAAAAAAAAAGAAAGUCCCC
rnacentral:snRNA from 1 species